rnacentral:misc_RNA from 1 species
GAUGAAGAACGUAGCGAAAUGCGAUAAGUAAUGUGAAUUGCAGAAUUCAGUGAAUCAUCGAAUCUUUGAACGCACAUUGCGCCCGCCAGUAUUCUGGCGGGCAUGCCUGUUCGAGCGUCAUUUCAACCCUCGCGCCCAUCUGGGCUGCGGUGUUGGGGACCGGCCUGCCCCCCGGGGCGCGCCGCCCCCCAAAUUCAGUGGCGGUCUCGCUGCAGCCUCCCUUGCGUAGUAGCACACCUCGCACCGGAGCGCAGCGCGGCCACGCCGUAAAACCCCCGACCCCCAUGAGUUUGACCUCGGAUCAGGUAGGAAUACCCGCUGAACUUAAGCAUAUCAAUAAGCGGAGGA